rnacentral:rRNA from 1 species
UACGUAGGGUCCGAGCGUUGUCCGGAAUUACUGGGCGUAAAGAGCUCGCAGGCGGCUCGUUGCGUCGGCUGUGAAAACCCGCAGCUCAACUGUGGGCUUGCAGCUGAUACGGGCGGGCUGGGAUUCGGUAGGGGAGACUGGAAUUCCUGGUGGAGCGGUGAAAUGCGCAGAUAUCAGGAGGAACACCGAUGGCGAAGGCAGGUCUCUGGGCCACUACUGACGCUGAGAAGCGAAAGCAUGGGGAGCGAACAGG